CAUUCAAAUUUAAAGCAUGUAGAUCAUUGGGAUAUGCCUUCUCUUCUGUUUUGUGUCUAUUCAGGCAAUUCCAGCUUCAAGUUAUAUUAUAAAUUCAAACUAUUGGAGUGAAGAAAAAGAAGAAAACUAAACAAUAUUGUGACCUAACAGAUCUUUUAGUUUUAAUUUCAGGCAUAAGUAUAAGAAAAACAAAUUUAUCUGAUUACAUUUUAGAAAUUCUAAUGUUCUUCUUGAUAUCCUUUCCAUAAAAGUAUUCCUAAUUUCAGUUGUAUGUACAGUUUACUUUAGGUUGACUGGACUCGUGGGUUGGCUGAACCUGAAGAAAGUAUUGUAGAACUAGAAACUCCUGCUGCUGAUCCUGAAGAUACUAUUGUAGAACUAUCAAUUCCUGCUGCUGAUCCUAAAGAUCAAACUGUUGGCUUUAGAUUGAUUUUGGGUGCUUAAAAAACUGCUGAAUACGAAGAUAAUGCUGAGAAUGAUGAAAAUGAUAAGGAUUAUGCUCAAGGUUAUUAAGGAUGGUUAUCCAAUUUAAAAACAAGAAACUUUAAUUAUAUGAAAAAUGUUUAACCAAAAAUAAAUUUUAAUCAACCUUUGUA